rnacentral:rRNA from 1 species
CCCUUAGACGUUCUGGGCUGCACGCGCGCUACACUGAUGUGUCCAGUAAGCACCUAACCUCUUCCGAAAGGAACGGGUAACCUUUGCAAAGCACAUCGUGAUGGGGAUAGAUUAUUGCAAUUAUUAGUCUUGAACGAGGAAUUCCUAGUAAGCACAAGUCAUCAGCUUGUGUUGAUUACGUCCCUGCCCUUUGUACACACCGCCCGUCGCUCCUACCGAUUGAAUGUUCCGGUGAGCUCUUCGGACUGCGCGGUCUGCAGUUUCUGCGUUCCGUGCGGAAAGUUGCGCAAACCUUAACAUUUAGAGGAAGGAGAAGUCGUAACA